UACGGAGGGUGCAAGCGUUGUCCGGAAUCACUGGGCGUAAGGGGCGCGUAGGCGGCCCGGUAAGUAGGGGGUGAAAUCCUGCGGCUUAACCGCAGGGCUGCCUUCUAAACUGUCGGGCUCGAGCACGGUAGAGGCAGAUGGAAUUCCCGGUGUAGCGGUGGAAUGCGUAGAGAUCGGGAAGAACAUCAGUGGCGAAGGCGGUCUGCUGGGCCGUUGCUGACGCUGAGGCGCGACAGCGUGGAGAGCAAACAGG
rnacentral:rRNA from 1 species